rnacentral:tRNA from 1 species
AAUCUUAUAGUCAAUAUAUGAUGUGAGAAUUGCAAAUUUUAAGUAAUAAUUUAAAUUAUUAAGAUUU